GAAAUACUGCCCUGCUGAUGUGUGAAAGUGUCGAUAUGUUGUGGGCUGGGCUUGACUUAUUCAGAUGCGUCUGGGAGACGACUGUGAUUACCAGGAGCUCUAACAUUACUGCAAGUUUGUUGUUCCUGUGUUUGGACAACAUUGAUAUGAAUGAACAGCAAAUGAUGGAUGGUUUUCAAACUUUGCUAUUUCCUGUCUCUCUGCAUUUGCCGUUGGUUACGCUUUUCAUUCUGAAUGUAAAGCUUCAAUAGUUUAACUGAAGGCCUGGAUAAAACUGAAUUAUAUAAUACAGGAAGCUAGAACCGCACCUGAUCCUACCCUCUAACCAGAAAGAGGAGGAGAGAUCAAAGAACUCAGUCCAUCACCUUCAGGACAUCCACAGUGUGCUGCCAGGAUUUAGAGCUAGUCACCUCUUGCAGAGCCCUCGAGGGGACAGCACUGGAGACCGUUCCUACCAGUGAUGUGACCAUACUUGGGAUGCUACGAAGACAUGCAUGUGAUACCUGAUAAUUGAUGCUGAUCACCAAGGCACAUCCCGCAUAGCUCUGCUGUUACUGUUGAAAGGUUUAUCCGCUUUUUGCUGGUUCUACUUUGGUCGCAUAAGUUUCCUUGAAACGAACUUGAGAACAUAGAGUUAUAAAAGAUUUAAUGGAGCCAGAAAUAUUGUUAUUGCUUUCUACAGGAGUGCCAAAUGGGUACUGAAAUACCGGUGAUAUUGCUCAAUAUUUCACAGAAUCACAGAACAAUUAAGGCUAGGAGGGACCUCAGGAGGUGUCUUAUUC